rnacentral:rRNA from 1 species
UACGGAGGGUGCAAGCAUUGAUCGGAAUUACUGGGCGUAAAGGGCGCGUAGGCGGCCGUGUAAGUCAGAUGUGAAAUUCCGGGGCUCAACCCCGGAGCUGCAUUUGAAACUGCACGGCUUGAGUACAGUUAGGGUAAACGGAAUUCCACGUGUAGCGGUGAAAUGCGUAGAUAUGUGGAAGAACACCGGUGGUGAAGACGGUUUACUGGGCUGAGACUGACGCUGAGGCGCGAAAGCAUGGGGAGCAAACAGG